rnacentral:snRNA from 1 species
AGCUCGAGUUUCUCUUCAUUAUCGCAUACAUUUUUCGCCUUUUACUAAAGAUUUCUGUGGAGGGGAAUGUUUUGCAAGUGACCUGUAUAUUUGGAGGCUUUGAUCACAGCAGAGCU